GUGCAAUGCCAUGUGUCACACAAUAUUUGUGUGGCACGUGGAUCUGUAUAUUACUGGUUGAAGUGUGUCCUGUAAUACAUUUAACCCAAUGCAAAUUUGACUGUUAUACAGGUAAUUGGAACUAGUAUUCCAAAGGUUAGCAAACAGCAUUAGUGCAUUUUAGCACUCAAAUAUUAUAUAAAUAUACAUAUAUAUUUUUAAACAUGUAGAAUUCCUAUUAUAUAUUAUGUAAGUGAACAGAACAUUUACUCUCUAGAGUGACUAAGUCCCCUAGCAUGUAAGCACAUUCCUUGAUGCAAGCAUAUUUUACUUAUAGCUUAAAUGUCUUAUAAAAUAUACAAUCAGUACGUCCCUUUUCCUGAUUCAGUCUAUUUAUUCCUAUAAGGAAAUUAUUCUAGAUAAUAAGUUCAAGAGUAUAAGUACUAUCACCAUUUAUGCAGCUAUGCAUAUAGCUAUGUUUCAUAUUUUUUUGUUUAUAUGUUUUCUUCUACUGGGAAAAAAGUUUUUCCGUAUUGUCUACAUAAUUUCUACAUAGUGAAU